rnacentral:lncRNA from 1 species
AUAUCAUAAUUUUUUUAAAAAUAUAAAUAUUUUUGUCAUACAAAAUUUUUAAAUGAAAAAGUUGAUCUGCAUACAUUAAAUGUAUGUUGGAACUAUGCAAAUCAAUCGGAUGAGACGGUGCACUCCACGUUGGAUUUUCUAUACCACUCACGAUAUACAAAAAAUUUUAUUUUAUUAUUAUUAUUUAUUAUUAUUAUUAUUAACUCUCUUAUUUCACCACAAUAGAGCAGUGUGUCACAGUCGUAGAUUCGCAGUCCAGAAAAUAAAUUAGGAGCGAUAGAAAUGACUUGAGAACUGGUGAUCCAUGCAACUGA